GACGAACGCUGGCGGCGUGCUUAACACAUGCAAGUCGAACGGAAAGGCCUUUUCGGAGGUACUCUAGUGGCGAACGGGUGAGUAACACGUGGGUGAACUGCCCUGCACUCUGGGAUAAGCCUGGGAAACUGGGUCUAAUACCGGAUAGGACCGCACUUUAGUGUGUGUGGUGGAAAGUUUUUUCGGUGUAGGAUGAGCCCGCGGCCUAUCAUCUUGUUGGUGGGGUAAUGGCCUACCAAGGCGGCGACGGGUAGCCGGACUGAGAGGUUGGUCGGCCACAGUGGGACUGAGAUACGGCCCAGACGCCUACGGGAGGCAGCAGGGGGGAAUACUGCACCAGGGGCGCCAGCCGGAUGAAGAGACGCCGCGUGGGGGAUGACGGCCUUCGGGUUGAAAACUCCUUUCGCCAGGGACGAAGCGUUUUGUGACGGUACCUGGAGAAGAAGCACCGGCUAACUACGUG
rnacentral:rRNA from 1 species